UGCGGGCAGGAGCUGCUGACAGCAGCUGACUGAGUCCCCUGCUCAGCCUCACCCACCGCCAGAAGCAACGCUUGGAUCCCACGCGGACGGUGCUCCCUGCUCCACACGAGUGCGGGCAGCCACUGUGACACCCACAGGUCAGCGUCCUCCCUCCUGAGCGCAGCUGUUACAAGUGCAGCGCGUCCUGUUUCGCCUUUUCUUUUCGCUUGGUUGGUAAUUGUCCCAAAGCCACUGGACCAAGGAUGAGCGUGACUGUGCGUGUUCGUGUGAUACCCGGACGUGGUUGAGCUGUCAGCAGGCCUGGAAAACGCCUAUGCAGUUCAGGUAUGGUGACAGGCUGUGCGGUGCAGGUAUGGUAACAGCCUGUGCGGUGCAGGUAUGGUAACAGCCUGGGCGGUUAGGUAUGGUAACAGCCUGUGCGGUGCAGCGAUGGUAACAGCCUGUGCGGUGCAGGUAGGGUAACAGCCUGUGCGGUUAGGUAUGGUGACAGCCUGUGCAGUGCAGGUAUGGUAACAGCCUAUGCGGUGCAGGUAUGGUAACAGCCUGGGCGGUUAGGUAUGGUAACAGCCUGUGCGGUGCAGCGAUGGUAACAGCCUGUGCGGUGCAGGUAGGGUAACAGCCUGUGCGGUUAGGUAUGGUGACAGCCUGUGCAGUGCAGGUAUGGUAACAGCCUAUGCGGUGCAGGUAUGGUAACAGCCUGGGCGGUUAGGUAUGGUAACAGCCUGUGCGGUGCAGCGAUGGUAACAGCCUGUGCGGUGCAGGUAGGGUAACAGCCUGUGCGGUUAGGUAUGGUGACAGCCUGUGCAGUGCAGGUAUGGUAACAGCCUAUGCGGUGCAGGUAUGGUAACAGCCUGGGCGGUUAGGUAGGGUAACAGCCUGUGCGGUUAGGUAUGGUGACAGCCUGUGCAGUGCAGGUAUGGUAACAGCCUAUGCGGUGCAGGUAUGGUAACAGCCUGGGCGGUUAGGUAUGGUAACAGCCUGUGCGGUGCAGCGAUGGUAACAGCCUGUGCGGUGCAGGUAUGGUUACAGCCUGUGCGGUGCAGGUAUGGUAACAGCCUGUGCGGUUAGGUAUGGUAACAGCCUGUGCGGUUCGGUAUGGUAACAGGCUGUGCGGUUCGGGUAUGGUAACAGGCUGUGCGGUUAGGUAUGGUAACAGCCUGUGCGGUUCGGGUAUGGUAACAGCCUGUGCGGUUAGGUAUGGUAAAGGUCUAUGCGGUUCGGGUAUGGUAACAGGCUGUGCGGUUAGGUAUGGUAAAGGUCUAUGCGGUUCGGAUAUGGUAACAGCCGAGAAACUACAGAAACCAGACAGAGACUGUGUGCGCCUGCAGAGCCUGCCUGCCUUCUGUGCUGACGCGUCUCCUGCAGAGGACGCCUCCCUGCCCCAGCUCCGGUCCCAGCUCACACCCCUCCGGAAGGCCGGGGUGAGGGGUCUGGAGCCCCCUGCAGCCAGGGGCGCCCCGGGUCGUUGCACAGCCCGAGGUUUGCCCUCUUUCUGAAGGGGAUCCUGGCAUACCCCAGCACCCUGAGCUGGAAGAAGGGAGACGGGGUCCCGGCAGCAUGGCUGAGAGCAGGCCCCUGUUCUCCAGAGCUGCGUCCCAGGAGCCCCCGGGCCCCGGCAGGCAAGGGCACGGCAGCCUCUGUUGCUGAAAGGACGACAUAGUGGCUGUGCUAAGACUGGCUCUCGUGGUCCCCGUGGCCUGGGACUUAUCUGGGAUUGUCCCUCCCGCCCCUCACCCUAGCUCACACCAUUUUCCCGUUUUCUUCACUCUGAUUUGGGGGAAAGGAAGCUACUUUACGACAAGUGAAAAACAAACACUUUGAACUUCAUGUAACUGGAGUGUUACACCUGCAGGACGCAGCGCUGCUGGAGUGCCAAACCUCAGUGCUGGGCCCUCCUUCCUCCCGCGGGCUCUCCCUCAGCCAUGACCC